UUUGGAGAAGAAAUUUCAACGAAGACGUCUUGUGAGAACUUGAAGACAUGAGUAGACGAAAGUGCCUGGCAAAUCCCACUGAUGUGCUUUGUGCGUCUGAACAGAAACCACUGCAGUGAGGCUUGACAUGGUUAUCCCUCAUUCAUUGCCUGGUAAUACAGUGGAGAAACGUUGUAAGACUGUCUGAAUGAGCUCCUGCUGUUGACGGACAUCCACCAGGCUGUGCAGUGACUGCUGACCAAUAAGGGUUGAAAGGACGGGUAGAGGAGUGGAGGUGGACAUGGAGCCCUUUGUGUUCGACUUCGAAAUACAAGAGGACAUGGAGGACUUCUCGAAGGA